UAGAGAGAGACAGUAGAGAAAAUCAGCAGUAGUAGGGAACACAACCCAACCCAGCAACAGCAAUCGAUUGUUUCUUUGCGAUUACGUGAAGAAAUCCUUGUCUAUUUAUGUUUACCAUCUUCAAUUGAACACUCCGCCGCUCUCCAUGGAGCUCCUCCUCAGCCUCUUCUGCUUCGCAAUUAUCGCCCUCCCGGCCCCGGUAAACUCCGCUUACGUAGCUUACAACACCUCCGCCGGCAUCGUGCCCGCCAAGAUCAACGUCCACUUGGUGCUGCACUCCCACGACGACGUCGGAUGGCUCAAGACCGUCGAUCAGUACUACGCCGGCGCCAACAAUUCCAUUCGGGCUAGUCUUUUGGGAUGAGUUCUCGUGGUGGCCGGGCAACGAACUCGCCGUGACCAACGAGUGCGUUUGGGACCGCUUGGAGUGGUGACCCACGGAGUGGUGGCCGGGCAAAGAAUCCGCCGUGACCAACUAUGUCUCUCUUUGGUUUUCUGGAGAGGUGAGACUAUGUUUGUGAAAGUUGGGAGUUAAUUUGGUUUACGCAGGAGGAGGGUUUUAACUGGAACUGGAAGUCUGGAAGAGUUCCCGUACAACUACAUUCUCAGCUAUGGAUGAAUCGUAUAGUUUGCCAAACAAUAUUGCAGUAAUAACUCCGCAGGAGCUGCUUCAAAGUGGAAAAGUGGUCCUUCGACUGGCUCACUUAUAUGAGGUCCUCUUCUUUCGAUUUUGAACUAAUAACUAUCAUUGGCUUAUGAUUAAACUAACUAGUAGAAAUAAUGAUGUGUUUUUGACAUGUCCCAAGGCUGGAGAGGAUAAAGAGUACUCAGUGGUUUGUGGUGUGGAACUGAAGAAGCUAGUUUCUGGGAAGAAGAUCAAGAAGGUGACAGAAAUGACGUUAUCGGGCAACCAAGAGAGGAAGAAGAUGGAGAAGAGGUGAACGCAGGCAUAAUGAACUGACAACCGUGUUGAUUUUACUAGAGGAGAUACCGCGGAAUCAUCAAAUUAAUUUGUUGCUCAUAUCUUUCAUAAUCACCCUCAUUAGCCCAGAAACUCGCAAGCGCAAACGAUCGGAUAGAGUUGGACUUUCUCCUGUGCUUGACUCAAUUCCUGAUCACGUAAAGCAUUUAGAUAGACUUGUCCUUGUCACGGAUCGGGCAUGUGUGGAUAAUUUAAGAAUGGACAGAAACACAUUUGGGCGGCUACGUCGUCUUCUCCGUGAUCGUGUAGGAUUGAUAGACCAGAAGUUCGUCAGUGUAGAAAAACAAGUUGCUAUGUUCUUAUGUGUUUUUAUCAACCCACAAGAAAGCUCAUAUAGUUGGGUUCAAUUUCAUGCGAUCAUCCCAAACCGUGUCUAAGUACAUACACAUUGUGCUCCGUGGGGUGCUCACGCUUCACACUCUGUUUUUGGUAAAGCCCACCUCUAUAGACGAUGAUUGCUCUGACCGGCGUUGGAAUUGGUUUAAGGGGUGUCUUGGAGCAUUAUCAAUGUACGAGUUCCUAUUGUUGAUGCCCCGCGUUAUCGAAACAGGAAAGGUCAAAUCACGACAAACACCCUAGUCGUAUGUGACCCACACCUUCGCUUCACUUACAUCCUACCCGGAUGGGAGGGGUCUGCCAGCGAUUCAAGGAUUUUACGCGAUGCAGCAAGUAGACCUCUCGGACUCAAAGUGCCUAAAGGCUUUAUGACGCCAUAUAAAGGAGUACGUUAUCAUUUGAAAGAAUGGGGCCCUGGUAGGCAAGCACCUCAAACGCCGGAAGAGUUGUUCAACUUGAGACACACGAAGGCUAGAAAUGUCAUCGAACGAUCGUUUGCCGUGCUGAAGAUGCAAUGAGGUAUGCUCCGAUCUGCAAGUUUCUACCCGAUAGAGGUUCAAACCGGCCUGAUUAUCGCAUGCUUCCUAUUACACAAUUGCAUAAGAAGUCAAAUGGCGGUAGAUCCAAUUGAGGCUGCGUUGGGCAAUCAAGCCAACGAUGAGGACGAAAGUGAGACUGAAUCGGCAAAUUGUGAUCAUAUCAUUGAAUCCACAAUAUCAAAGUAGGAUUAAUUAUACUUUCUUUCAACAACAUUUUUGACAAAAA